GAUGAAGAACGCAGCAAAAUGCGAUAAGUAAUGUGAAUUGCAGAAUUCAGUGAAUCAUCGAAUCUUUGAACGCACAUUGCGCCCGCUGGUAUUACGGCGGGCAUGCCUGUUCGAGCGUCAUUUCAACCCUCAAGCCCCCGGGUUUGGUGUUGGGGAUCGGCUCUGCCCUUCUGGGCGGUGCCGCCCCCGAAAUACAUUGGCGGUCUCGCUGCAGCCUCCAUUGCGUAGUAGCUAACACCUCGCAACUGGAACGCGGCGCGGCCAUGCCGUAAAACCCCAACUUCUGAAUGUUGACCUCGGAUCAGGUAGGAAUACCCGCUGAACUUAAGCAUAUCAAUAAGCGGAGGA
rnacentral:misc_RNA from 1 species